AGAUUGAACGCUGGCGGCAUGCCUAACACAUGCAAGUCGCACGAGAAAGUGGAGCAAUCCACGAGUAAAGUGGCGCACGGGUGAGUAACACGUGAAUAAUCUACCUCCGAGUGGGGAAUAACUGAGAGAAAUCUUAGCUAAUACCGCAUAAUACCCACGGGUCAAAGCAGCAAUGCGCUUGGAGAGGAGUUCGCGGCCGAUUAGCUAGUUGGCGGGUAAUGGCCCACCAAGGCGAUGAUCGGUA
rnacentral:rRNA from 1 species